rnacentral:rRNA from 1 species
GGUACUCGAGUGGCGAACGGGUGAGUAACACGUGGGUGAUCUGCCCUGCACUUCGGGAUAAGCUUGGGAAACUGGGUCUAAUACCGGAUAGGAGCCAUCUUUAGUGUGGUGGUUGGAAAGUUUUUCGGUGUAGGAUGAGCUCGCGGCCUAUCAGCUUGUUGGUGGGGUAAUGGCCUACCAAGGCGGCGACGGGUAGCCGGCCUGAGAGGGUGUACGGCCACAUUGGGACUGAGAUACGGCCCAG